GCCUAGCCGUAAACAAUUAACUCACAUCCACACCGCCAGGGAAUUACGAGCAAUGCUUAAAACCCAAAGGAUUUGACGGUGUCCCACCCCACUAGAGGAGCCUGUUCUAUAAUCGAUGAUCCCCGCUUCACCUAACCAUCCCUCGCCUACCAGUCUGUAUACCUCCGUCGAAAGCUUACCAUGUGAACGCCCGCAGUAAGCUUAAUGAUUUCACCUUCAACACGUCAGGUCAAGGUGCAGCUUAAGGGACGGAAAGUAAUGGGCUACAAUUUCUAAUCUAGAACAAACGAAAGACUAUGUGAAACCCUAGUCAUGAAGGUGGAUUUAGUAGUAAAAAGAAAAUAGAGUGUUCUUUUUAACCCGGCUCUGGGACGCGU
rnacentral:rRNA from 1 species